rnacentral:rRNA from 1 species
AGGACGAACGCUGGCGGCGUGCCUAAUACAUGCAAGUAGAACGCUGAAGAGAGGAGCUUGCUCUUCUUGGAUGAGUUGCGAACGGGUGAGUAACGCGUAGGUAACCUGCCUUGUAGCGGGGGAUAACUAUUGGAAACGAUAGCUAAUACCGCAUAACAAUGGAUGACACAUGUCAUUUAUUUGAAAGGGGCAAUUGCUCCACUACAAGAUGGACCUGCGUUGUAUUAGCUAGUAGGUGAGGUAAUGGCUCACCUAGGCGACGAUACAUAGCCGACCUGAGAGGGUGAUCGGCCACACUGGGACUGAGACACGGCCCAGACUCCGUACGGGAGCAGCAGUAGGGAAUCUCGGCGAAGUGGGGCGAACCUGACCGAGCAACGCCGCGUGAGUGAAGAAGGUUUCGAUCGUAAGCUCUAGUUGUAAGUCGAAGGAACGGUGUAGAGAGUAGGAAAGUUCACUACGUGUAGACGGUACGACGUUAACCGAAGGAAACGGUACGG